rnacentral:rRNA from 1 species
CAAAUUUAAAAUCUACCUGGUUUCCAGGUCGAGUUGUAAUUUGAAGAUACGUUUUUGACGUUCCGGGUUGAACUAAAUCCUUUGGGAUAAGGUAUCAUGGAGGGUGAGAAUCCCGUAUAUACCAACCRUAGGGAUGUUAUUUAAUACGUUUCUAAGAGUCGAGUUGUUUGGGAAUGCAGCUCUAAAUGGGUGGUAAAUUUCACCUAAUGCUAAAUAUAAGCGAGAGACCGAUAGCGAACAAGUACAGUGAUGGAAAGAUGAAAAGAACUUUGAAAAGAGAGUUAAAUAGUAYGUGAAAUUGUUGAAAGGGAAACGAUUGAAGUCAGUCAUGCCRGUGGGAAUCAACUUAGAGGAAACUCUGAGUGCACUUCUUCGCUUGGCAGGUCAACGUCGAUUUUGGAUGUCAUAAAAUGAUUGGGGGAAGGUAGCUCYUUCGGGAGUGUUAUAGCCCUUGGUAGAUGUGAUGUCUGGGAUCGAGGAUUGCAAUGGAUACCCUUUGGGGCUAGCCGCCUGAUCUCUAAUYGGUAUUGGGUUACGGAUAGCAUGCUGACCGUGAUCUAAUUAUUGGUUAAAAGGUUAG